rnacentral:rRNA from 1 species
GACGAACGCUGGCGGCGUGCUUAACACAUGCAAGUCGAGCGGUAAGGCCCUUUCGGGGUACGACGAGCGGCGAACGGGUGAGUAACACGUGGGUGACCUGCCCUCCAGCUCUGGGAUAAGACCUGGGAAACCGGGUCUAAUACUGGAUAUGACUCCAUGACGCAUGUUGUGGGGUGGAAAGCCUUGUGCGGCUGAGGAUGGGCCCGCGGCCUAUCAGCUUGUUGGUGGGGUGAUGGCCUACCAAGGCGACGACGGGUAGCCGGCCUGAGAGGGCGACCGGCCACACUGGGACUGAGACACGGCCCAGACUCCUACGGGAGGGCAGCAGUGGGGAAUCUUGCGCAAUGGGCGAAAGCCUGACGCAGCGACGCCGCGUGAGGGAUGACGGCCUGUGUAACU